UCCCCCGUGGCGCAAUUGGAUAGCGCGUUAGACUGUUAACAUCAGUAGCCAUCUAAAGGUUGGUGGUUCAAACCCACCCGGGGGAG
rnacentral:tRNA from 1 species